rnacentral:tRNA from 1 species
GCCUGGGUGGCUCAGUAGGUUGAGCAUCCGACUUCGGCUCAGGUCAUGAUCUCGCGGUCCGUGAGUUCGAGCCCCACAUUGGGCU